AUACUUUAAUGAACAGAAAGUGACCUUUUUGUUACAUCAUAACCGAUUCAUAGGGACACAUCAAACACCCAGAGCUCAAAAGCAUGCCAACUUCUAGUCCACUCUUCAUUUUUGAGAUUACAUGAUCAAACGAUUACUGAUAUCUCCAUAGUUAUGAACUGCCUAUAUACAAAUGACUCCGGAGGCGAAGCUCAUCUUCAUUACUCAUCAUCUGUGCAUCUCCUGUGAUGACAUGGCAGGACUGAAACCAGCUAAGGUAAAUAAUAACCCUUUUUGACCUUGUGAUAUUUUUAUGUGGUAUUUUGUGAUACUUGCUGUUCAAACACCCAUGCCAAGGCUUCAUUUUUCCAGAAUCCACAUGAUGGAAGUUAGCGGACACUUUCUGUACACUGAGUAACUGCAGCUGUUGUAGCCUAGAACACCAGUGUUUGCUUAGGAACCCUGCUUUUAAGCAGCCUUUUCAAAACAGACAGAAGGAGGUUUAAGAACAAAUCAAACCAAACAACAACAACAAAGACAACCAGAAAAACGAGACAAACACCUGCAGGUAACAGGGAAAAAAAAAGUAUGUAUUUUAAUGGAUUUCAGAAGCUUGCAAUUUCCACACCACCGUAUAAGAAGAAAAUUCUCUGAUUUAUUGUGUACUGCAGGAGACAAAAGAAUGAAGUGGAACAGUUGAGUAAGUGGAAUAAAGUGGAAUAAUCCCAAACUUCA
rnacentral:lncRNA from 1 species